rnacentral:tRNA from 1 species
GGAGGAUACAGCUCAGUGGUAGAGUGCAUGCCUAGCAUGCAUGAGGUCCUGGGUUCAGUUCCUCGUACCUCCA